rfam:Picoides pubescens contig98314, whole genome shotgun sequence.
CCAUAGGCCUCUAUAGAGGCCACAACAGUCUAUAUAGAGGCUCUCU